rnacentral:rRNA from 1 species
GUACUGAGACAACGACCCAGGCCUUACGAGGCGCAGCAGGCGCGAAACCUCCGCAAUACACGAAAGUGUGACGGGGUUACCCAAAGUGUUCAAUUUUGAACUGUGGUAGGUGAGUAAUGUUCCCUACUAGAAAGGAGAGGGCAAGGCUGGUGCCAGCCGCCGCGGUAAAACCAGCUCUUCAAGUGGUCGGGAUAAUUAUUGGGCUUAAAGUGUCCGUAGCCGGUUUAGUAAGUUCCUGGUAAAAUCGGGUAGCUUAACUAUCUAUAUGCUAGGAAUACUACUAUACUAGAGGGCGGGAGAGGUCUGAGGUACUACAGGGGUAGGGGUGAAAUCUUAUAAUCCUUGUUGGACCACCAGUGGCGAAGGCGUCAGACUGGAACGCGCCUGACGGUGAGGGACGAAAGCCAGGGGAGCGAACCGGAUUAGAUACCCGGGUAGUCCUGGCCGUAAACGAUGCAUACUAGGUGAUGGCACGGCCAUGAGCCGUGUCAGUGCCGUAGGGAAACCGUUAAGUGUGCCGCCUGGGAAGUACGGUCGCAAGGCUAAAACUUAAAGGAAUUGGCGGGGGAGCACCACAAGGGGUGAAGCCUGCGGUUCAAUUGGACUCAACGCCGGAAAACUUACCAGGGGAGACAGCAGUAUGACGGUCAGGUUGACGACCUUACCUAACGAGCUGAGAGGAGGUGCAUGGCCGUCGCCAGUUCGUGCCGUGAGGUAUCCUGUUAAGUCAGGCAACGAACGAGAUCCGCACCUUUAUUUGCCACCAAGAAGUCACGACUUCGUUGGGAACACUAAAGGGACCGCCGUCGAUAAGACGGAGGAAGGAGCGGGCAAAGGCAGGUCAGUAUGCCCCGAAACCCCUGGGCUACACGCGGGCUGCAAUGGUAUGAACAAUGGGCUGUGACUCCGAAAGGAGAAACCAAUCCCGAAAUCAUAUCUCAGUUGGAAUUGUCGGCUGUAACCCGCCGACAUGAACGCGGAAUCCCUAGUAAUCGUGUGUCAUCAUCGCACGGUGAAUACGUCUCUGCUCCUUGCACACACCGCCCGUCGCUCCAUCCGAGUGUGCUAAAAAUGAGGUUUGGUCAAUUUGGUCAUAUCGAGUUUCUAGUAUGCGAGGAGGGAG